rnacentral:rRNA from 1 species
CGGUUGCAUCAGGCAUGCAGUCGAAUGGGGUUAGACCCAUGGCAAACUGGCUAGUAACACGUAGGAACUCGCCCUGAAGUCGUGAAUACCCUGGAGAAAUCCAGUAUAAUACACGAUGCCCUCUACGGAGGAAAGAUUUAUCGCCUCAGGAGGAGCCUGCGUCCUAUCAGCUUGUUGGUGAGGUAAUGGCUUACCAAGGCUAUGACGGGUAGGGGGUGUGAGAGCAUGGCCCCCAGCAUUGGAACUGAGACACUGUCCAAACACCUACGGGUGGCUGCAGUCGAGAAUAUUCCACAAUGGACGAAAGUCUGAUGGAGCGACACCGCGUGCAUGAUGACGGCCUUAGGGUUGUAAAGUGCUAAAACUGGGAUCAAUGUACUGAGCGUACCAGUUGAGAAGAGGCUACUAACUCUGUGCCAGCAGUAGCGGUAAUACAGAGGCCUCAAGCGUUAUCCGGAUUUAUUGGGCGUAAAGCGUAUGUAGGCGGACUUAUUAGUCGCGGGUCAAAUUUCUGGGCUCAACCCAGAAACUGCUUGCGAAACGGUAAGUCUAGAGGAUAUGAGAGAUGACUGGAACUUAUGGUGUAGUAGUGAAAUGCGUUGAUAUCAUAGGGAACACCCAAGGCGAAGGCAGGUCAUUGGUAUAUUCCUGACGCUGAGAUACGAAAGCGUGGGUAGCGAAUGGGAUUAGAUACCCCAGUAGUCCACGC